AUGCUGGACAACGGGUUUCUGAGCCUGGACUCGCCCACCUAUGUCUUGUACAGGGACAGGGCAGAAUGGGUUGAUAUAGACCCAGUCCCACAGAAUGAUGGCCCUAAUCCAGUGGUACAGAUCAUCUACAGUGAAAAGUUUAGAGAUGUUUAUGAUUACUUCUGAGCUGUCCUGCAGCGCGAUGAAAGAAGUGAACGAGCCUUUAAGCUCAUCCGGGAUGCUAUUGAGUUAAACGCAGCCAGCUAUACAGUGUGGCAUUUUCGGAGAGUUCUCUUACGGUCGCUUCAAAAGGAUCUGCAGGAGGAAAUUAACUACAUCACCGCGAUAAUUGAGGAGCAGCCCAAAAACUAUCAAAUUUGGCACCACAGGAGAGUGCUGGUGGAGUGUCUCAGACACCCCUCUCAAGAGCUCGAGUUCAUCGCCGACAUCCUCAACCAGGACGCAAAGAACUACCAUGCCUGGGAGCACUGGCAGUGGGUCAUUCAGGAAUUUCGACUUUGGGAUAAUGAGCUACAGUAUGUAGACCAGCUUCUCAAAGAGGAUGUGAGAAAUAACUCUGUCUGGAACCAAAGACACUUCGUCAUUUCUAAUACCACUGGCUACAGUGACAGUGCUGUGUUGCAGAGAAAAGUCCAGUAUACUCUGGAAAUGAUCAAGUUAGUACCACACAAUGAAAGUGCAUGGAACUACCUGAAAGGAAUUUUGCAGGAUUGAGGUCUUUCCAGAUAACCUAAGCUGUUAAAUCAAUUGCUUGAUUUACAACCAAGUCACAGUUCCCCCUACUUAAUUGCCUUUCUUGUGGAUAUCUAUGAAGACAUGCUAGAGAACCAAUGUGACAACAAGGAGGACAAUCUUAAUAAAGCACUAGAGUUAUGUGAGAUCCUAGCUAAAGAAAAGGACACUAUAAGAAAGGAAUAUUGGAGAUAUAUUGGAAGAUCCCUUCAGAAUAAACACAGAAGAGAAAGGGACAUACCAACAAAUGUAUAGCAGUGAGAGUGUUGGUCGAAGUGGAUGCUGCUUUCUUUCUAAGGGCCUCUAACACAGGAGUGAAAACUUGAGCGACCAUCCCUUGCCUGUGCGCUAAAGUUGUUGCCCGGGUGCUGUUUUUAACAAGAACUAAGUAGGAUACUCCUGAAUGCUGAUGCUCUUCACACUAGCUCUAAGAAGUCAAUUCUUGUAAAGCAAGGUCAUUGGAGGGGGGGGCGUGUAAAGGCCUUCCCAUAAAGGAACGGCUGCUUUGGUAGUCUUCCCAACAUUUAAUCCAGUCCUGUAGAAUCAACUCCUCCCAGAAGGUGUGUGUGCCAGGCUUUGUGCUGGUAGUGACUGAAGGUACCUGUUACUGGUUUGUGGUGACUUCAGUCUGGUGCAUUAAACAGGGACUGCAACUGUUGACUAGAGCUGCUGUGCCAUGCUCAUGGUAUCUUGCUAUCACUGUAACCAACUAAUGCUAAAAGAAGGGUUUUAUAAUAAAAACACAUGGAUCUAUAAAUGACAGCACCCUAGUCGUUUGGUUUUGACUGUGUACAAGGGACAUUCUAGCAGUUUAGAACCAACAAGGAGCCUAGUGCUUGGGAGGCUGAGUCAGGAGGAUUGCUGCAAGUUUGAGGCCAGUCUGGACUGCAUAGAGAGGUUCAUGCCAGCUCAAAAAACAGAGUGUUGCCUUAUUU